rnacentral:rRNA from 1 species
CAUGUCCUUUUGUAAAUAAUUUAAGGUCUAAUCUGCCCACUGAAAAUUAAAUGGCCGCAGUAAUUUGACUGUGCUAAGGUAGCAUAAUAAUUAGUUUUUUAAUUGAAAGCUGGAAUGAAUGAUUGGAUGAAAUAAAAACUGUUUCAAUUUAAAUAGUAGAAUUUUAUAUUUAAGUUAAAAAGCUUAAAUUAUAUUAAAAGACGAGAAGACCCUAUAGAGUUUAAUAAUUAAUAUUAUUUUUAGUUAAUUUUUUUUGUAAUAUAAUUUUAGUAUUAAUUAUUUGGUUGGGGUGACAAAAAAAUUUAAUAAACUUUUUAAUUUUUAAACAUAAAUUUAUGAGUUAUUGAUCCAUUUUUAAUGAUUAUAAGAUUAAAUUACCUUAGGGAUAACAGCGUUAUUACUUUAGAGAGUUCUUAUCGAAAAAGUAGAUUGCGACCUCGAUGUUGGAUUAAAGUUAAAUUUUGGUGAAGAAGCUAAAAUUUUAAGUCUGUUCGACUUUUAAAACUUUACAUGAUCUGAGU